CACAUUUUUCAACCAUGUCUUCUCUUAAACUCCAUAGGCUGUUAUCUCUGGAUUCCUAAAAUGUUGUUCACAUCCCUGAAUGUCACACGCUGACGGGAGCAGGGAGGGUAGGCGAGAGGCCUGUGGGCAGAAUGAGAAGACUGACCUCCUUCACAUUACGGAUAUCUGGUCCCUCAUCUGGCAUGCAUGAGACAGACCUGAGAGAAUGUGCCAUCACCACAACAACUGGAGGCAAGAGAAGACAUCAACUGAAGAGCCCAUUGGUGUUGAAGAGCAAUGUUCACCCUGUCUGUGACUCAUUCAGCAUGAAGUAUGAGCUUCAAGUCAAAUUCUGCCAAUGGAACUGAUGAGAGGUGGUGAAUGACCCAAAUGGAGAAGACGGAUUUGCAGGCUGGAGUGGGUUUGUGGAAAGGACUUCCUGUGGUAUGUACCAACUACAGUACAAGGGUCCAGAUCCAGAAGCAAAAUGAGGAAAAGGAAAUUCUCGGACUGUUCCGUUUACAAGUUAAAACCUACAACUUACCACUAUAGGGCGCUCUUCACUUUGUUAUCUUUCAGAAGAACAGCCUUGUAAAGGCUGCCAUUCAAAUGGAAAACAUUGCACUUCUUAAUGUCUGUGAAUUGUGCAAGAAUAAUCAGAACGACCCCACAAUGCAGGAUAGAUUCGCGCCCCACCCCCACAUUUCUGUUGGUUGUGAUGUAAAAUCCUUGACUGACUCAAAUGUAAAUUGUAAGGAUUCAGCAAAUCUACAUUGCCUGGGUAACUAUCCAUAACA